UACAGAGGUCUCAAGCGUUGUUCGGAAUCACUGGGCGUAAAGGGUGCGUAGGCUGCAUGGUAAGUCAGGUGUGAAAGCCCGGAGCUCAACUCCGGAACUGCACCCGAUACUGCCGUGCUUGAGGACUGGAGAGGAGUCUGGAAUUCACAGUGGAGCAGUGAAAUGCGUAGAUAUUGUGAGGAACACUAGUGGCGAAGGCGAGACUCUGGACAGUUCCUGACGCUGAGGCACGAAGGCCAGGGGAGCAAACGUG
rnacentral:rRNA from 1 species